rnacentral:lncRNA from 1 species
UCCACCCUGCAGACCGGGCCACAGAGGCAGCUUCUCCGGGGCCGCUUGGCUCUGAGGAGUGGGGUGACCAGAAGAUUCUGGGUCUACUGGAUUUUGAAAAAAGGCAGACAGCAGAGUGAGACGGAGACAGUCUGGAGAGCCAGCCAGCAGAACUCUGCACAGCUGUAUUCUCCACCUCCCACCUUGCGCCCUGCUGUCCCCGGGGUCGUGGACCAGCAGAGGGUGGGCAGGAGACCGCAUUCACAGUGUGGCUCCUCACUGUCAUCCCAGAGUCUCCCCUCACGAGCACCCCGGCUGCAGGGUGUAACCUGAGGCCCUAGCAGGGCCCAUGGAGCUUCUGCUGCUUUUCCCCGGGGGCCCUGAUGUGACAUUUCUCGUCCAGGAAGAGGAUGGAAGAUGAUAAAUUGAGCCACGCAGAGGAGAGGUAACUCCCUCCUGUCCUCAGAGUGUCCCGAAGACCCUCCUUUGCCUGGUGAGUGACAUACUAGAGCCCGCACGGUGACAGCUCAGCAAACCCAAGUAAGCACAUAUUGGAGAACCAUAAUUCCAAGCUUGGAGGCCUCCCUCAAGGCGAUGGGGAGUGUGGCAUCGUGACCGCUAACCCGGUCCCUCCGCGGCCUUGGGUUUAAAAGCGUCUGUGUCCAGCCGGGAGGUGAACUCCUGACAGCAACGCCCGUCCAGCCCACACCUCUGCCUGGCAGUGUGCAGCAGGACCCCUGAAGCCCAAGUCGAGAGCAGCGCCUGGUCUCCACCCGAGACUGGGUGGCGGAGAAGCGCUGCCUCUGACCUCAGUGAGCAUGGAGAGGCGGUGACAGGUUUGGACAGUAGAGAUUUCAGCAAUUUCUGGAAGGGUGAGUUGGUGCCGCACAACCUUGCCUGGGAACUGGGACACACGGCCUGGACCAAGCUGUGGUGACAGGGACACCCCUCCCAAAGCCUGGGUUGCCUGCUCAGCCUCACUCCCCCCAGCCUGCAUGUGGCCGCCCCUCCCCUCAGCGAAUUUGUCUGUUUCCCCAUCCACCUGCUCCCAGGCUUCAUUUGAGGCUGGGUCCGAGCACCGCCCCGCAGCCUUCCUGGCCCCAGCCCUUCACAGGAGCCUGCUCGGGGAGCCUCGUGGGCGUCAAUGGAGCUGGACGGGGGGCUUCCUCUGCACCCCCAGUGCAGAGGGGACCCCCUCUGUCCCUGACUGUCCCCUCGCCACCACAGCCUGUCUCAUCCAUCUCAGCUCACCACUCCCACCGCCCAGGGGGUCUCCCUGCCAGGUGUGAACUAGGGGUGGUGGGGUGGGUGGAGGGGUGAGCGUGUGCCCUCUUCCUGUGCUGGGGGAGCUGGGGGUGUCAGGUGUGGAGGGAGGAGCCUGGUGGCGAGGCCUGGAGGGACCAGCAGGGGCCGUGGAGUCCUGGGCCUGUGGUGCAUCCCCCACUUCAGUCUGAACAGGACCUGCCUCGGAAGCAGAAUCGGAUUCCGCUGACUGGGACAACGUCACGUGACAGCGAGUCCAGCGCCCGGGGCCUGGGAGAACAAAGGCGGCUGACCCGUCACAGGAGCUGCACGGCAAUGCAUCUGAGACCAUGCGGUGUCACCUUCACAGAAGUGCUCUGGCACAGAGACUCCAGCCUUGCCGGCCUCUCGCCUCCCAAGCACAGAAGCCUCCAGAACGCUGCUUCAAGGACAAGCCCAGGAGACCUGCCAUGCUCAUGCGUGUCUUUGGAAACAGGUUCUCUAAAUUUUGCUUGUGGUUUGUUAAAAAAAAAAAAAAAAUCAGAAGUGUAAUCAAAGACUUCAACAAACGAAGCACCAAAACACUUCAGCUUUGAAAUGUAGAAUUGCAAUGACUGGAAACACGGCUCGCAAAGCAAAAGACAUUAAAAUUCAGUCAUCCCUACAGAAGCCGGACAGGAAUUGAUCACAUCCACUAGUGAAGGCUCAGAAAGUGACAAGAUUUCAUUUGGAAAUCGUACCUGUGUCCUUGGGAACAUCCUGAACCUUGGGAAGCAUCAGCUCAUGGAGUUCCUAUUAACUGGAUAAAUUUAUAUUCUAGAUUGAAAUGGAAUGGAAUUAAGUAGGCCCACGGUUUUGCAGCACGUACAUUUGAAGAAUCAUUAAAAAUCAUCAUAGAAACAAUUUAUUUGACGAGAUUUGUCUUGUACAAAUAUUUGUUAAAUAUUUGUACUCCGAACGGAGGCCAAAAGACAGCACCUGUGGGAAACUUUAGGCUGAAAUAUUUACACAUUUCAACGCAAAAUGUCAGAACUGAGAAUCUGCCGUGUGCUCACAAGGUACCCCAACCCUGCAGAGAGAGACAAUUUUCUUGAUCCAAAUGUCAUCAUCUACCCAGAAGUGUCCAUGGACAGCACAGAUUCACAUUCUGGGGCCGUUAAAAUGUGAAUGUGAGCUAUCAAUGGACACUUCUGGGUAGAUCAUGACCUUUGGAUUAAUUAAGAUUGAUCCAGGCCCGGCGCAGUGGCUCAUGCCUGUAAUCCCAACACUUUGGGAGGCCGAGGUGGGCAUAUCACUAGAGGUCGGGAGUUCGAGUCCAGCCUGGCCAAUUUGGUAAAAACUGUCUCUACUGAAAAUACAAAAAUUAGCUGGGCACGGUGGCAGGUGCCUUUAAUCCCAGCUGCUUGGGAGGCUGAGGCAUGAGAAUCGCUUGAACCCAGGAGGAAGAGGUUGCCGUGAGCCAAGAUUGCGCCACUGCACUCUAGCCUGGGUGACAGAGUGAGACUCCAUCUCAAAACAAACAAACAAACAAACAACCCAAAAAAUUAGC